rnacentral:rRNA from 1 species
UACGAGUGCCCCAAGCGUUAUCCGGAAUUAUUGGGUGUAAAGGGUGCGUAGGUGGUUUUAUUAGUCUUGUGUUAAAGACCGGAGCUUAACUCCGGAAAUGCAUAGGAAACGGUAAAACUAGAGGGUGUGAGAGGUCUGUGGAACUCAUAGUGUAGGGGUGAAAUCCGUUGAUAUUAUGGGGAACACCAAAAGCGAAGGCAGCAGACUGGCACAUUCCUGACAUUGAGGCACGAAAGCGUAGGUAGCGAAU